UGAUGAUUCCAGGUCUCAAGGGCCGAUGUCCUGCAGGUUUUAGAUCUCACCCUGCCACUUGAAUGAAAUGAUUAGUUCAUUACCAGGCCUCUGGAGAACUUCAAGACAUGUUGAGGAAGUUACUUAACCAUUUAAAUCAGCUGUGUCAUCUAAAACCCUGCAGGAAGCCGGCCCUUGAGGCCUGGAGUUCCCCCACCCCUGACAACUUAAGGAAUCAGGGAACCGCGUUCAGUCCGCCUUCACAAUCAAGAAGUUUGCAAGCUAGCUAGGGACUGGGCAUUAUUAUCCUUAAAACGAUCGAAGUGGUUUUGUUUGGUAUUGGAUCUGAGGUGUUUGGAUUUUGAUCUCGCUUUUCCCCCCCUCUUCCUUCACGACAAUGGAGCACAAACAAGGAGCAUUUGUGCUGCUAAAGAUACAUUGGCUCUGUAUACUCUUCAUCUACGGACAGUCUAGUGUAAAUUGCGGAAAAGGAACCAAAGAUUCUCUGACUGACAUCAGCCAUCAUCCUCAGGACAAUCAGAGUGAUCAGAUGCAGAGAGCUGUGGUACUGGAGCAUCGAAGAGUUCCUCGAGAUGUAAAUGAUAGACUACAGAAGCUAGAGAUAAGGGUGGGGGAGAUGGCUCGGGUGCUGGAUGAGGUCAGAACUCAGGUAAAGAUUGCACUUAAAGCAUGAGUUUCACAAAACAAUGACACAGUGAAACAUGACAUGACAUACUAGGAUUUUCUUUUUAAUAACAGACUGACAAACUGUUGAUGCUGGAGAAUAGGAUGGACGAGCUGGCACGUAAGCUGAACGUGGCCACUGUACGAACAAAAAAUGACAUAAUGAAACAAAAAAUGACAUAAUGAAACAUGACAUGGCAUACUGGGAUUUUUAAUUUUGAUUUAUUACUUAUAUUUUUACUUCCAAUGGCAAACUAUAGAGAAAUGAUAGCCUGCAACAUCUGGAGGAUAUAUCAAGGGAGCUGGAUCGCAUGCAGAAAAUAAUCACCACUCAGGUAAAGAUUGCACUUAGUGAGUUUUCACAAAAAAAUGACACAAUGAAACAUUACAUGACAUACUGGGAUUUUUUUUUCUUUUUUUAAUAACAGACUGACAAACUGUUGAUGCUGGAAAAUAGGAUGGACGAGCUGGCACGUAUGCUGAAUGUGGCCAUUGUAAGAGCCAAAAAUGACAUAAUGAAACAUGACAUGACAUACCGGGAUUUUAAACUUUGAUUUAUUUACUUUUAUUGUUACUUUUUUGGCCCAAUGACAAACUACAGAGAAAUGAUAGCCUGCAACAUCUGGAGAAUAUAUCAAGGGAGCUGGAUCGCAUGCAAAAAACGUUCAUAGCUCAGGUAAAGAUUGCACGCAGUCCAAUGAGUUUUCACAAAAAAAUGACACAAUGAAACAUUACAUAACAUACUAGGAUUUUUUUUUCUUUUUUAAUAACAGACUGACAAACUGUUGAGGCUGGAGAAUAGGAUGGACGAGCUGACACGUACACUGAAUGUGGCCAUUGUAAGAGCCAAAAAUGACAUAAUGAAACAUUACAUGACAUACCGGGAUUUUAAACUUUGAUUUAUUUAUUUUUAUGUUUACUUUUUUGCCCCAAUGACAAACUACAGAAAGCUGACAGCCUGCAACAUCUGGAGAAUAUCUCAAGGGUGCUGGAUCGCAUGCAGAAAACGAUCAUAGCUCAGGUAAAGAUUGCACUCAGUCCAAUGAGUUUUCACAAAAAAAUGACACAAUGAAACAUUACAUAACAUACUAGGAUUUUUUUUUCUUUUUUAAUAACAGACUGACAAACUGUCGAGGCUGGAGAAUAGGAUGGACGAGCUGACACGUACACUGAAUGUGGCCAUUGUAAGAGCCAAAAAUGACAUAAUCAAACAUGACAUGACAUACCGGGAUUUUAAACUUUGAUUUAUUUACUUUUAUGUUUACUUUUUUGCCCCAAUGACAAACUACAGAAAAAUGAUAGUCUGCAACAUCUGGAGAAUAUAUCAAGGCAGAUGGAUCGUAUGCUGGAAAUGGUCAAAGCUCAGGUAAAGAUUGCACUUAGUCUAUGAAUUUUCACAAAAAAAUGACAUAAUGAAACAUGAAAUGACAUACUUGGAUUUUUUUUUCUUUUUUUCAUAACAGACUGAAAAACUAUGGAUGCUGGAGAAUAGGAUAAAUGUAACCACUGUGAGAGCCAAAAUUGGCAUAAUUAAACUUGACAUGGCAUACUGGGAUUUUAAACUUUUAUUUAUUUACUUUUAUUUUUACUUUUUUGCCCCAAUGACAAACUAUAGAGAAAUGACAGCCUGCAACAUCUGGAGGAUAUAUCAAGGGAGCUGGAUCAUAGGCUGCACAUGGUCAGUGUGGAGGUAAAUAUUCCACUUCAUAUUUCUUGAUGCAGUUACGGAAAUCCCAAAAAGUUGAUUUCCCGAGAGAACAACUCUGAAUUGAGGAUCUUACAAUGCUGUGAUUGCAGCCAUUCCCCAACUCUCUGUGAAUGGUAAUCAUGGACAUUUUCUGAAUAGUUUUUUCAUGAAAAAUGGCAUGAAUCAUUGCAGGACAUAUUUGGACAUAUAUUUUUUGUUUGUUUGUUUUAUAACAGAAUGGAAAACUAAAGAGAGAGAUGUACUUCCUGAAAUCAUGUUUGAAGGAGCAAUGCAAAGAAGGUGACUCAUGUUCUUUCUGUGAGAGCUAUCAUCUAUCAUAUAUCGCUAUCAGUUUUUCUUUUCAUUUCUUUCAACAGUCAAAUGUUCGGACACACCUUCUCAUUUAAUGGUUUUUCUUUGUUUUCAUGAUUAUUUACAUUGUAGUUUCUCACUGGAGGCAUCAGAACUAUGAAUGAACACAUACGGAAUUAUGUAGUAAACAAAAAAGUGUGAAAUAACUCAAAACAUGUUUUAUAUUUUAGAUUCUUAAAAAUAGCCACCAGUUUUUUUGAUUACUGCUUCGCACACUCUUGGCAUUCUCCCGAUGAGCUUCAUCAGGUAGUCACCUGAAAUGGUUUCCCAACAGUAUUGAAGGUGUUCCUAGAGAUGCUGAGCGUUUGUUGGCCCUUUUGACUUCCAUCCAGCUCAUCCCAAACCAUCUCGACUGGUUUUAAGUUAGGCAACUGUGGACUCCAGGCCAUCUGGCGGAGCACUCCAUCACUCUCCUUCUUGGUCAAAUAGCCAUCAGACAGCCUGGAGGUGUGUUUGAGGUC
rnacentral:lncRNA from 1 species